rnacentral:rRNA from 1 species
CGGGGGGAGCAAGCGUUGUUCGGAGUUACUGGGCGUAAAGGGCGCGUAGGCGGCGCAACAAGUCACUUGUGAAAUCUCCGGGCUUAACUCGGAGCGGCCAAGUGAUACUGUCGUGCUAGAGUGCGGAAGGGGCAACUGGAAUUCUCGGUGUAGCGGUGAAAUGCGUAGAUAUCGAGAGGAACACCUGCGGCGAAGGCGGGUUGCUGGGCCGACACUGACGCUGAGGCGCGAAAGCCAGGGGAGCGAACGGGAUUAGAUACCCCGGUAGUCCUGGCCUUAAACGAUGGAUGCUUGGUGUCCGGGGUUACAUAGUCCCCGGGUGCCGUCGCUAACGCCUUAAGCAUCCCGCCUGGGGAGUACGCACGCAAGUGUG